rnacentral:rRNA from 1 species
CCCUAUGGGGUGCAGCAGGCGCAGCCCGAACGCCUUUGCGACAAGCCCGGACCUGCCGGCCCCGGUGACAUAGAUCCGUUUUGCUGCAAGCAGUUCAGAAUAAAAUGCAGUAAUCUGGACCCGGUCGAGCGUACCUGCAGUCCUGACGAUGGAAUCGCCCAUCUUCUGCAUGAAUCCGGGAAUAUGGGAAUCUUCGUUUGCCAUAGGAGUAUCCUGUGGAUCUCUCGUACCCGGCAAUAUCAGGGUAUCGAUCUACUCCUUUCCUGUAACGUCCGCAUGGGUGUUCCGGAACCGGAUCAGGCUGUCGCAGAACUCUCCCAGGUACUCAUCCAUCGAGAGACUGCCCUCUUCAAAGACACAGUCGCCCUCUUCGAUCACUUUGUUGAGC